CUUCCAUGUCUGAGGGGAUCAAGCAGCUCUUGAAAGAUAUGUUAGCUGCUAACCCACAGGACCGGCCUGAUGCCUUUGAACUUGAAACCAGAAUGGACCAGGUCACAUGUGCUGCUUAAAAUUCAGGGCAAAGCAUCUUGAGUGUUUUUAACUAGGUUGAUCCUCGGGACCCGUAGUCUCAUCGUGUCUCACCCAGAGGACAGCAGAGUGUGUAGGCGGUGGCUUGGUCGGUUGGCGAUCUCCCAACAGCUGGAUCUCCGGCAAUGUGAAGCUUUCAUUUGGGAUUUCCCCCCUCCUUUUAGUUUUGCUUCAUUUUUUUUUUAAUCUUAUUUUUUGUCCUUUUUUCCCUUUUUUUUUUUUUUUUUUUAAUUUAAGCGAUUAAGACUUCAGAAGAGCAAGAAACUAUUCUGUGGAGAAACAACACAGACAAAGCAUAUGUAUAAAUUCCAUUUUUAAUUUUUAUAAGGGGUUAGGGAGCUAUUUUGUUUUGUUCCUUUAUUUUCCCCCUGUCUUCUUGGUUUUUACCCAUUCCUCGGUUCUGUUUCCAAUCCCUCGCAUCCCCAGAGGAGGCCUGCCUCUCUAUGGAGACCGGGGGUCAGUCCUACCGUGGGGGUGUGAAGCCAGGAGGCAGCCUGUGGGCCUCCCCCCCCCACCCUAUCCCCCACCAGACGCGGGCACUGCCGGGCUGUUCCAUGCUCGCCCUCAGGCCUUAGAGAUGAUCAGAGGCGAAGAACCAUCUAGAAGAGGAAGACCGGGUUUGGCCAGGAGAACUCAAAGUCUAAACUGUGGGUUUGCUCUCUUUCCGGCUUCUGGAAGCUCUGGGCCACACCAGGACACGCAGUGGUGGACAUCCACUCCCUCUUCUGCCCCUUGGGCUGCUGUCUCUUCGAACAGAUGGGAAAAACAGUUCCCAAACUCGACCACAGCCCUCCCUGCCUGCAACCUCCCCUCAAGUCCCCAGUGAAGGCUCGGGACUAACAAGCCUUCCUGCCCCUGGACAUUCCCCGCCUCGACCAUUCCCUUCCUCCAAGGUUCUCUGCUCCUUGACCUAUCAGCUGGCUCCUAGAAAACCAGUAUUUGGAGCAAUAAGAUUAUUUUUGCCUGAGUCUUUCUAAGAAAAGGUAAAGAGCUGGCGUGAUAGGAAUGUUCUUUUCCGUGCUGUCGCAGUUUACCGUUUUAGAAGACAGAUCUUUGUAGGACAGAUGCCUGAGUUUCAGCCUCAGAGUAUCUUUUGGAAACUUGGAACAGCAGGAGUUGGGCCUCCACCCCCUAAGGAGGGGACCCUAACUCUCUGCCCGCACCUUGCCCCACACUGCCAGGGCUUCCGGGCCUGCCCUGGAAGUGCGCCUCUCGCCUUUGAUCCUGCCUGCACGCCCCCCCCCACACACACACUUCCGGGGGCUCCUGGGUGAUUGCUCCCACCAAUUCCUUUCCCCUUCCUUGGCCUGGCCCGUGGCCCCAGACAGGCACAGCCCUACUGGAGUUAUCUAGGAGCUGGCAGCCUGAGCACGGCCAAGCUCGGGGCUGCGCCUUGGGGACACCAGGCCCAUCUCUGAUCCUGCCCGCGGGGCUUGGGGGCAGGGACUCGACUCCUGUCCGGAGAGAGAACCUCAGAAGGGAAAGCAAGAGGUGGGACGUGAGGGUCGGCCAACGUAAGCCCCCACAGCCACCGUAGAGAAGUGAACCCACUUCCAUCAGCUGCCAGGAGGUUCCUACGUCGUUUUCCAUGAGAGGCCGCAAGAGGAAGGGAGCUUAGCCUGUUCAGGAACAUUUUAAAGAAAGCCUUUGUGCCCCAGGGGCCUCUCUCAGACGAUUUCACGUUCUUGCGGGGCCGACGUGGGUGAGGGAGGCACGACGUAGCCCAGGCACAAAGUUAGCUUCGAAUACUAGUUGAUAAAUCUAUUUUUCUUUAUUUUCUUGUUUUGCACAGAAGCUGGUAAUCUAGGACCUACGUGUGAACAACUUUAUAUGACUAUUUUUUGUACUUGGUUUACUUGGGUUGGUAUGAUACAUUAUAUUUAAGUUCCUCGAACACUGUGCAUCCCCCAAUGUGUAUGAAUGACUGAGGCUUUGUAAAUUAAGGGAUGUUUGUGUGAAUAAAGUUAUUUGAUGGGGUCAAAGAAGCCAUAAGUGAUUUGGAAACAAGUGCUUUGUGGUUUUGUCAUCACCUGUUCACGGGGAAGGGAGAGGCCAGUCAGUGGGGCAGCCUCCCCAGGCAAGAGGGGGAUGGCUGGCACCAGACAAGGGGACCUUGGCCCCUGGGUGAGAAAUCUACCUGGUGGUCUUUGAGUGAGCUUCCCACCCCACCCUGCGAGCAGGCCCUCAGAAGGAGGAACCUGCCCUGGGGGAUGGGAGUCCCCCCCCCCCCCACUGGCUGGCCCGCCACAAGCUUUCUAGAGCAUUCCAGGCCCGUGGCCAGCGUUGCCAGGCACUCAAAGGCCCUUCCUUCCAGCCCCAGCACUGCUUCCGAAAAGUUCUGCCCUC
rnacentral:lncRNA from 1 species